AUUGAACGCUGGCGGCAGGCCUAACACAUGCAAGUCGAACGGUAACAGGAAACAGCUUGCUGUUUCGCUGACGAGUGGCGGACGGGUGAGUAAUGUCUGGGAAACUGCCUGAUGGAGGGGGAUAACUACUGGAAACGGUAGCUAAUACCGCAUAACGUCGCAAGACCAAAGAGGGGGACCCUCGGGCCUCUUGCCAUCGGAUGUGCCCAGAUGGGAUUAGCUUGUUGGUGGGGUAACGGCUCACCAAGGCGACGAGCCCUAGCUGGUCUGAGAGGAUGACCAGCCACACUGGAACUGAGACACGGCCCAGACUCCUACGGGAGGCAGCAGUGGGGAAUAUUGCACAAUGGGCGCAAGCCUGAUGCAGCCAUGCCGCGUGUAUGAAGAAGGCCUUCGGGUUGUAAAGUACUUUCAGCGGGGAGGAAGGGAGUAAAGUUAAUACCUUUGCUCAUUGACGUUACCCGCAGAAGAAGCACCGGCUAACUCCGUG
rnacentral:rRNA from 1 species